rfam:Haemonchus placei strain MHpl1 genome assembly, scaffold: HPLM_scaffold0000743
GGCCCAAAUUUGAACUAGAGUAGAUUAGUAUGGUCAGCUGAUCCUACUGUUCUACUCUAUUUCAAGUUUGCGUCC